UACGUAGGGGGCAAGCGUUACUCGGAAUUACUGGGCGUAAAGGGUGAGUAGGCGGCUGGGCAAGUCAAGGAUGAAAUCCCGAGGCUCAACUUCGGAACUGUCCUUGAAACUGCUCAGCUUGAGGGUAGUUGAGGAGAGCGGAAUUCCCGGUGGAGCGGUGAAAUGCGUAGAGAUCAGGAGGAACACCGAUGGCGAAGGCAGCCCCCUGGGCCUGUACUGACGCUCAUGCACGAAAGCGUGGGGAGCAAACAGG
rnacentral:rRNA from 1 species